UACGUAGGGUCCGAGCGUUGUCCGGAAUUAUUGGGCGUAAAGGGCUCGUAGGCGGUCCGUCACGUCGGGAGUGAAAACUCAGGGCUCAACCCUGAGCGUGCUUCGGAUACGGGCGGACUAGAGGUAUGCAGGGGAGAACGGAAUUCCUGGUGUAGCGGUGGAAUGCGCAUAUAUCAGGAGGAACACCGGUGGCGAAGGCGGUUCUCUGGGCAUUACCUGACGCUGAGGAGCGAAAGCAUGGGGAGCGAACAGG
rnacentral:rRNA from 1 species